AUUGAACGCUGGCGGCAGGCCUAACACAUGCAAGUCGAGCGGAUGAAGGGAGCUUGCUCCUGGAUUCAGCGGCGGACGGGUGAGUAAUGCCUAGGAAUCUGCCUGGUAGUGGGGGAUAACGUCCGGAAACGGGCGCUAAUACCGCAUACGUCCUGAGGGAGAAAGUGGGGGAUCUUCGGACCUCACGCUAUCAGAUGAGCCUAGGUCGGAUUAGCUAGUUGGUGGGGUAAAGGCCUACCAAGGCGACGAUCCGUAACUGGUCUGAGAGGAUGAUCAGUCACACUGGAACUGAGACACGGUCCAGACUCCUACGGGAGGCAGCAGAGGGGAAUAUUGGACAAUAGGCGAAAGCCUUAUCCAGCCAUGCCGCGUGUGUGAAGAAGGUCUUCGGAUUGUAAAGCACUUUAAGUUGGGAGGAAGGGCAGUAAGUUAAUACCUUGCUGUUUUGACGUUACCAACAGAAUAAGCACCGGCUAACUUCGUG
rnacentral:rRNA from 1 species